rnacentral:rRNA from 1 species
UACAGAGGGUGCAAGCGUUAAUCGGAAUUACUGGGCGUAAAGCGUGCGUAGACGGUUCUGUAAGUUAGGUGUGAAAGCCCCGGGCUCAACCUGGGAAUUGCAUUUAAGACUGCAUAGCUAGGGUGCGGAAGAGGGAAGCGGAAUUUCCGGUGUAGCGGUGAAAUGCGUAGAUAUCGGAAGGAACAUCAGUGGCGAAAGCGGCUUCCUGGUCCAGCACCGACGUUCAGGCACGAAAGCGUGGGGAGCAAACAGG